rnacentral:rRNA from 1 species
GAGCAUAUCAAUAAGCGGAGGAAAAGAAACCAACAGGGAUUGCCCUAGUAACGGCGAGUGAAGCGGCAACAGCUCAAAUUUGAAAUCUGGCGUCUUCGGCGUCCGAGUUGUAAUUUGUAGAGGAUGCUUCUGGGCAGCCACCGGUCUAAGUUCCUUGGAACAGGACGUCAUAGAGGGUGAGAAUCCCGUAUGCGACCGGAAAGGCACCCUCCACGUAGCUCCUUCGACGAGUCGAGUUGUUUGGGAAUGCAGCUCUAAAUGGGAGGUAAAUUUCUUCUAAAGCUAAAUACUGGCCAGAGACCGAUAGCGCACAAGUAGAGUGAUCGAAAGAUGAAAAGCACUUUGGAAAGAGAGUUAAAAAGCACGUGAAAUUGUUGAAAGGGAAGCGUUUGCAACCAGACUUGCUCGCGGUGUUCCGCCGGUCUUCUGACCGGUUCACUCGCCGCGUUGCAGGCCAGCAUCGUCUGGGGCCGCCGGACAAGACCUUGGUAAUGUAGCUCCCCCUCGGGGGAGUGUUAUAGACCAUGUUGAUGCGGCGCGUCCCGGGCGAGGUCCGCGCUUCGGCUAGGAUGCUGGCGUAAUGGUUGUAAACGGCCCGUCUUGAAACACGGACCAAGGAGUCUAACAUCUAUGCGAGUGUUCGGGUGUCAAACCCCUACGCGUAAUGAAAGUGAACGGAGGUGGGAACUUUAUUGUGCACCAUCGACCGAUCCUGAUGUCUUCGGAUGGAUUUGAGUAAGAGCAUAGCUGUUGGGACCCGAAAGAUGGUGAACUAUGCCUGAAUAGGGUGAAGCCAGAGGAAACUCUGGUGGAGGCUCGCAGCGGUUCUGACGUGCAAAUCGAUCGUCAAAUUUGGGUAUAGGGGCGAAAGACUAAUCGAACCAUCUAGUAGCUGGUUCCUGCCGAA